UAUACUUGGACACAAUAAGAAUGAUAAUUUCUUAUUUUUCUAUAGAGACCUGUUUACUGCACUGCCCCACACAGAUCUUUGGAGCCAGUUGGUCAGACCAUUUACUGUAAAUUUAAAUUGCUUAUUUAAAAUGCUUAGAAUAAGUGAAAAAGCUACAUCCAUAGAUACCAGGUGGAAAUUAUAUUCCUAGCUCAGAACAAAGCAGUUAAUUUUCAGUAACGAUCUAAAAAUGCUGACAUUUGGAUUCAAAAGAUUAAUGCUAAAAUACGAUGUUCUAUUUUCAGGAUUUGCCUAAGCUCUUAUUGCAAAUCAUUCUCUAUACUUAAAUUAUGAUUAUACUGUACAAAACAGUACAGUAGAAUCACUCUGGGGUUACACAUAGAAUGCCUAAAAGCUGAGCUCAGCAUGCCCAGGUAAGUACAGUAAUAGGUUUAAAAAGCUUCUGGUAAUGGAAAUAGAAGCUCCUGUGGGAUAGGGAGUUUAGAAUGUCUGUAAAUGCUUUCUUUCCACUAAGCAUACAUACAAAUAUAAACAUGAGCAGAAUAUUGCUUAUUAUGUCAGAGUUGCAUUUAAAAGCAGAACAGGGACUGUUUGUAGAACUGGCUGGCGUUCCCGGAUCUUGAAGUCAGCUGCCAGUUACAGGUGCAGAAUUGCAGCUAUGGUGUUCCAUGUGUGUUGCACCAUGCUUCAAAAAAUUAUUACCAGUGAAAGAACAGCUGUAGCUUUGCCACUUCCUUCUCCCACUCCUGUAACAUACUCCAGAAACGUGGAAGAGGGAGGCACAGGAGGCAAUUAUGCCAGAGUAGAGCUCUUCUAUAGAUCUAAAUGCUUGUAUCUGUGUGAUUCCACAUUGAAGUACAUCCUUUCAAGCUAGCUCUGCCACCCAUAUACACCAAGAAUAUUUGGCUGAAAUCAGUGCAAUUAAAGCUGGGGUAAGGGAAUCAAGGCCAUCUCACUAUCUAUUAAAAUCCAGUGGAAUGUUCUGAAAGUGGAAACAAUAUGCAGGGCUUUUGAAGGCUAACAUUUACAUUUUCAGUAUCAGUGCAAUACUGUUUUAAAUAGAAUAAUUAAAAUAUAUUUUUCUGUGGACAUAUCUCACUAUAAUUGCACACAGGUUUGUUUUCAGAACAUAAGACUUUUUCACAAACAGCAGCAAUUGUAAACUUAUUGAUUUUAAAGGAAUUAAAAAACAA